AUUGAACGCUGGCGGCAGGCCUAACACAUGCAAGUCGCGCGGAUGAAGGGAGCUUGCUCCUGGAUUCAGCGGCGGACGGGUGAGUAAUGCCUAGGAAUCUGCCUGGUAGUGGGGGAUAACGUCCGGCAACGGGCGCUAUUACCGCAUACGUCCUGAGCGAGUUAGUGGGUGAUCUUCGGACCUCACUCUAUCAUAUGAUCCUAGGUCGGAUUAGCUAGUUGGUGGGGUAAAGGCCUACCAAGGCGACGAUCCGUAACUGGUCUGAGAGGAUGAUCAGUCACACUGGAACUGAGACACGGUCCAGAAUCCUACGGGAGGCAGCAGUGGGGAAUAUUGGACAAGGGGCGAAAGCAUGAACCAGAAAUGCCGCGUGUGUGAAGAAGGUCUUCGGAUUGUAAAGCACUGUAAGGUGGGAGGAAGGGCAGUAAGUUAAUACCUAGCUGUUGUGACGUUACCAACAGAAUAAGCACCGGCUAACUACGUG
rnacentral:rRNA from 1 species